UGGGGAAUUUUGCGCAAUGGACGAAAGUCUGACGCAGCAACGCCGCGUGGGUGAUGAAGGUCUUCGGAUUGUAAAACCCUGUCGUCGGGGACGAAGGUAGGGGGGUUAAUAGCCCUUUUGCUUGACGGUACCCGGAGAGGAAGCCCCGGCUAACUCUGUGCCAGCAGCCGCGGUAAUACAGAGGGGGCAAGCGUUAUUCGGAAUUAUUGGGCGUAAAGGGCGCGUAGGCGGUGAUUCAAGUUGGAUGUGUAAUCCCCGGGCUCAACCUGGGAACUGCAUCCAAGACUGGAUCGCUAGAGUGCUGGAGAGGGUGGUGGAAUUCCUCGUGUAGCGGUGAAAUGCGUAGAGAUGAGGAGGAACACCAGUGGCGAAGGCGGCCACCUGGACAGUAACUGACGCUGAGGCGCGAAAGUGUGGGGAGCAAACA
rnacentral:rRNA from 1 species